AUGGAGCUUAAGUUUCCACGAGGUAGAAAUGGGGGAGCAUCGAGUUGCAGGUCGAGGCCCGGCCACCGAUCUUACCGCCCGCCCAGGGACGCCCUUCCGAAGCUGAUUGAUUUCCACGUACCCACCCCUUCCUCCUCGCUUCCGAAAGGCAGAGCCUGGGCCAAGGCAGUCCGGCGUCCCCUGGAAGAGAAAGGCGAGCGCGACCCCAACGGGCCAAACCCACGAGAGCCUGGAGGCGGGGACCAAAGCCUUCCCCUCCCCGUUUCCUCAGUCCCUUCCCGUCUGGGAAAGAAAAGGACGGCGGACCCGCCUCUCUCCAUUUUCGCCGGGAAGGAAGGGGAAGCUGCUCUUCGUCACGUGGGAGGCACCCCCAGCUACGGAAGCCAACGAGGCUCAAUCCCGAAGGGGUUAGAUUUCGCCCCCCUCCCUCCCGGCAUCUGGAUUACGCCGAGGGAAAGGAAGCCGAGGAAGCGCCGCUACGGGUGCCGGCGAGGCCUCGGGGGUCUCUGCCAGCCGAGGAGAGAACGCGGCUGCCCCCGCCUCCUUUCGGCGUCCGAGAGCGGCCGUCGAAAAGAGGCGACCCCGUCGCCCCCGCGAGCGCGGCUCGGCGCGCCAGCCAUGGCCGGCCGCCUCGAGGAACCCGCCGCUUCAGCAGCCGCCCGCGACACAAUCACUUCCGGUAGGGCAGAGGGCGAGGGGAAGUGGGUGCCAGGGAGCGGGGUGAGGCGGGGGGGGAGGGAAAGGAAACCCUGGGCGGACCUGAGGAAGCGUCGGGGGGAGGGCAGGGAAGGGGCGGCAAACCGGUUUCCCGCGUCUCCCGCCGGCUUCCACCCCUCCCGAGCACGCGGGCGGCGGCGUCUUUCAACCCUGCUGCCGCAGUGGCGGCGGCGGCGCUGCUACUUCCGGACGGAUCGCCUCCCGGCAUGCCGUGCAGCCGGAAGUGCCGCGACAUCUUUAGGCCCCUUGCUUUGGUUCUUUUUUUUUUUCUUCUCUUCCUUCCUUCCUCCCUCCCUUUUCCCUUCUUCCCAGCAUUGA
rnacentral:lncRNA from 1 species